rnacentral:rRNA from 1 species
AUCGAUGAAGAACGCAGCGAAACGCGAUAGGUAAUGUGAAUUGCAGAAUUCAGUGAAUCAUCGAAUCUUUGAACGCACAUUGCGCCCCUUGGUAUUCCGGGGGGCAUGCCUGUUCGAGCGUCAUUUCAACCCUCAAGCCUAGCUUGGUCUUGGGCUCUGCCGGCAACGGCUGGCCUUAAAAUCAGUGGCGGUGCCAUCGAGCUCUACGCGUAGUAAUUAAACCCUCGCGUGUGAGUCCCGGUAGACGCUUGCCAGCAACCCCCAAUUUCUAUGGUUGACCUCGGAUCAGGUAGGGAUACCCGCUGAACUUAAGCAUAUCAAUAAGCGGAGGAAAAGAAACCAACAGGGAUUACCUCAGUAACGGCGAGUGAAGCGGUAACAGCUCAAAUUUGAAAUCUGGCUCUUUCAGGGUCCGAGUUGUAAUUUGUAGAAGAUGCUUCGGGUGUGGCUCCGGUCUAAGUUCCUUGGAACAGGACGUCAUAGAGGGUGAGAAUCCCGUAUGUGACUGGUUGCCUCCGCCCAUGUGAAGCUCUUUCGACGAGUCGAGUUGUUUGGGAAUGCAGCUCAAAAUGGGUGGUAAAUUUCAUCUAAAGCUAAAUAUUGGCCAGAGACCGAUAGCGCACAAGUAGAGUGAUCGAAAGAUGAAAAGCACUUUGGAAAGAGAGUUAAACAGUACGUGAAAUUGUUGAAAGGGAAGCGCUUGCAAUCAGACUUGCGCGCUGCUGAUCAUCCGGAGUUCUCUCCGGUGCACUCGGUAGUGCUCAGGCCAGCAUCGGUUUGGGUGGUUGGAUAAAGGCCUUGGGAAUGUAGCUUCUUUCGGGGAGUGUUAUAGCCCUCGGUGCAAUGCAGCCUAUCCGGACCGAGGACCGCGCUUCGGCUAGGAUGCUGGCGUAAUGGUUGUAAGCGACCCGUCUUGAAACACGG